rnacentral:rRNA from 1 species
CGAGGACGAACGCUGGCGGCGUGCUUAACACAUGCAAGUCGAACGAGGUCCACUGCGUAGCAAUACAAGGGAAGACCUAGUGGCGAACGGGUGCGUAACACGUGAGGAACUUGUCCCGGUCUCUGGGAUAACAGUUGGAAACGACUGCUAAUACCGGAUGACGUCGGAAUCUCGCAUGGGAUACUGACGAAAGGGUUACUGGAUCGGGAGAGCCUCGCGGCCUAUCAGCUUGUUGGUGAGGUAACGGCUCACCAAGGUAUCGACGGGUAGCUGGUCUGAGAGGAUGAUCAGCCACACUGGGACUGAGACACGGCCCAGACUCCUACGGGAGGCAGCAGUGGGGAAUCUUGCGCAAUGGGCGAAAGCCUGACGCAGCAACGCCGCGUGCGGGAAGAAGGCCCUCGGGUUGUAAACCGCUUUCAGUGGGAACGAAAAUGACGGUACCUGCAGAAGAAGGUGCGGCCAACUACGUG